AUCCCUUUUUGGCUAAGAUCAAGUGUAGUAUCUGUUCUUAUCAGUUUAAUAUUUUUCUCUAUGAAAUUAAGUUUAUAAAACUUUCAAAUGGAGACUCUUU
rnacentral:snRNA from 1 species